ensembl:lncRNA
AUUAGAAAUGUUUUAUUAGGUUUUUUCAAGCAUCUCUUUAAGACACUUUCUAAACUAUACAGUAUCAGCUGGGCUUCAUUCUGAAAAAUCGGAUGAAAAAAAAAGGUGCGGAACAAGUAGCAGGAAAAAGAUAUGUGGAGAUCUUUCAAGUUUUCUGUACAUCCACAGCAGGAACCCAGCUGAGUGUUGUUGGAAGAGGAUAAAAGGACUUUAGUGUCUGUGCUACAGCGCAGGGAGGGCUGUAGCUCAUUUCACUCUGGAUGAGUCACCGGCUCCGAGUGAAUGUUCACAGAGUUGAUCUCACCAUCAUCCAUUUACCAUGACUCAUCAGGACAUUCACAUAAAAUGUUAUUUCAGCCUAGUGAAUACACUUUUUAUUUCAAAACCAUGAACAAGAACACACAAAGGAACAAACAACUCGGCACGAUCCACGAGCCUCAAUCCUCUCUCUCUCCCUCUCACAAAGAGGGGAAACCUCUUGAAGAUAAUGAUGCUUUCAACAAGCGGGGACGAUUAGCAUCAACUUACUGGAAAAAAAAAAAAAAGAGCAUGCUAGCAAAAGCUGAAAACCCCUAAACGCUACAUGAUGAGAUGGGAGCAUUAACAGGAUAGAGAUAAAUCUGUUUUUAGUAUGGACCAUUGUAUGGGCAGAAAUCUGUGCCAUCAGAAACUGAAUUUGAAUAAGUUCAAUUUGAAUUUGAAUGGCUCCGAUUGAAUCUGAAUUGUAACUUGAAUAAAUGCUUUUGAAAACUGAAUUUGAAUUAGUCUAAUUUGAAAUUGAAUUUAUGGUUUGAAAAUGAAUUGAUUUGCUUUGAAACUGCAUUUUAUCCUUUAAAAAUUCAGCUCUCGAAUAAUUUCAGUUUCACUUCUCACCAUUCAGUUUCAGUUCUACAAUUCAAUUUCAGUUCCAAAAUUCAGUUUUUUGGAACUUACAUCCGGUUCCGGUUCAAGCGCAGAUUAAUAGAACUACGUUUUACUAGCGGACCGAAAGUGUUACUGACAGGAAUCUACAGCAUCUUGAGCUGAAUUAAGACUUCAGAAGUCAUUCGUCAUGUCGAAUGACCAGCGGAUAAACUCUCAGGUGUUUUGUGCCAGAAAUGGAGUGUCCACUGAAGACUGAAGAUACUGAAUCUCUACGCCUUGCCAUUGAUCCCUAUUGUGCCUUCAUCUAGACAAGAGACAUUAACUUAACCACUCUCAUAUGCUCUGUACCUACAUCACCUUCCCUGACAGUCGUAGCUUGG